ensembl:lncRNA
CAAGAAUUGGAAAGAAUCAAAAAAGCAAUUGAGUCAGUCAAGACUGAAGUUGAAGAAGGGCAGAAGAAACUCUCACAGUAUAAUUUGCAAGAUGAAAUACCUAAAAACUCCCUGACAUCUAAAACAAAUGAUGUUAAAGGAAAUAAAAGUUCCCCAGAUGAUGAUGAUGAUCUGUGUAGCUCUCUUACAAAAGACAAAUGUCUUGUAGCUCCAGUCUCUAAGUACUCUAGCAAAGGCUGUCAUUUGGUAUCCAGUAAAUAUGUCAUUGACCAUAGCUGUCCAGCAACUGACCUUGAAUAUGAUCCACUGCUAAAUUAUUCUGCAGGCCUACUCAGCUCUUCCAUAAUGAAAGAGCAGGAAAAUGACACACAGCAAUUUAAGCUGGUGAAAAUGCCUCUUGCUGAUUUUCACAUGGAGUCUCCAAAAAUGUCUCCAUGUGGAAAUCGGCAUGGAUCCCCAAAGAAGAGAUCAAGAAGCGAUUCACCAAUAAAGCUUGAAAUAAAGCUCCAAGAAUCUGAUGAUGAUGAUAUUCUGGUUAUUGAUGCUCCACCAUUGACUGUCACUAAGAAGCCAAGAAUAAAUAGGAGCUUUAAAAACUGGAAUAGGGAAGAAAACAAACAAGCUGCUAUAACAUGUGCAGAAAAUCUGCGGAAUAGUAACAUAGGAGAAGAUCCUCUUAAGUAUAUUGAGGAAAAACGAGCAGAAGUUACUGUAACUCUGCAAAAGGAUGACAACACAGAUGUAAGCAACCCUGAAAAAUCACUGAAAACGCCACCAAAAACUCAAAGUGCAUAUUUGCCUGAUGUGAAAAUUAAUGCUUUGAAGUUUUUAAAUAACCUUUGUGAACAAAGAAAACCUUUUACUGUCUCUCAGGAAAAUAAUUUAUCUUCAAUUUCUCAUAUUAAGGCACAGAUGCAGAAUGAAACUUUGAAGAAAGAAGAUCCAAAGAGUGAAAUAUCAGUGAAAACGUCUGUUGAAGAAUUGAGUACUAACAAAGAUAAAAACACACCAAGUUGCAAGAGAGAGGCCCAAACUAGCCUGUAUUUUGAAGCCAGCUCAAAAGACCAAACUGUGCUAACUGCACAGGGAACUUGUAAAAAAUUACCUGUAAAUAUAGGAAAAAAUCAGCUCAUACAUGAAAAUGGAGAAAAUGAAGUGUUGGGAAAUGCACCCAUUCAUCCCAGCACUCCCUUGAAUUUGGGUGAGAAAAUUCGUCAUGAUGUAGAUCUCUUGACUAAAAACCGUAGUGGAGAAAGUAAUAGUAAUACUGUGAACACUACCAUCCAAGAAAGUGAAAUAAUUGUAUUAGAUUCUUCUUCAGAAGAAGAGAUGGAGUGUAGUGAAGAGGAUACUGAACUCUCUGAAUCGGAUGACCCUAUAGAGGAAUGCCGGAGAAUUUUCAAUGAGUUUGUUGAAAGCGAAGCACAGAAGCAAGAAAUUGCUAAGCAGGCUCUUGGAGCUCAUGUUGAAGUAGAUACAUUGGAUACCAAGACAAAUAUGGUUUCUGGGCAGAAGAAAAGAAUUGCGCACACUGCAAAAUUCGAUGUGAGUU